ensembl:lncRNA
GGACAAGUAGCCAAGUAGAGGAAAGGAAAGGAGAAGGAAGGAGGGAGUAAAAAUGCCUGUUGAAACCAGAGCUUGAGAUUAAUGAAUUCUGCGCUGAGCCCAACCCUCAGAGAAGCAAGAUUCAGCUCCCAGCCAAGCCUUUUCACAACUGCAGUUUCCUCUUCUGCACAAGGAGAAGGUGGCUGACUUAGCAGAGUCUGCAGAUAAAGAUGAAAGGCACAGUAGGCAGAACACACAGCAGCCAGAACACUGGGAAUCACGGCUGGACUGCCACAUCCAACCUCCCAGAACUGCAGGAAGGAGUCUGAGCCUGCCAAUCCUUCAGCCCCAGAGCUAAGAAGAGGAACUAUAGUGAGAUCCAGAUGCUUCCAGACUCUUCAGAUGGAGUGACGGAGUGCUGUGGGAAGAUCAGCGUGAAAUGCAGGAGCAGUGCUUGAAUCAAGGAUGAGAAAAAGCCUCUCCUGUAGGGAGUUGUCUCCAAAUACCCACACCUUGUGUUUUGACUUCUAGACACCAGUAGCUAUUGACAUUUUUAAAGGGAA